rnacentral:rRNA from 1 species
AACUUACAUCCAUAAGCGCCAGGGAACUACGAGCCACGCUUAAAACCCAAAGGAUUUGACGGUGUCCCACCCCCCUAGAGGAGCCUGUUCUAUAAUCGAUGAUCCCCGCUAUACCCCACCACCCCUUGCUCAUCAGUCUGUAUACCUCCGUCGAAAGCUUACCAUGUGAACGUCUAUAGUAAGUUCAAUGACCCAUGCCAAUGCGUCAACACGUCAGGUCAAGGUGCAGCUUAAGAGGUGGAAAGUGAUGGGCUACAAUUUCUAAUUUAGAACAAACGAAAGGCCAUGUGAAAUCCUGGCCACGAAGGCGGAUUUAGUAGUAAAAAGAAAAUAGAGUGUUCUUUUUAACCCGGCUCUGGGACGCGUACACACCGCCCGUCAC